UGAUCUGGCCACUCAGUGUG
rnacentral:miRNA from 1 species